AGGUGCUGCACGGCUGUCGUCAGCUCGUGUCGUGAGAUGUUGGGUUAAGUCCCGCAACGAGCGCAACCCUCGUGUUUAGUUACUAACAGUUCGGCUGAGGACUCUAGACAGACUGCCUGGGUAAUCAGGAGGAAGGUGAGGACGACGUCAAGUCAUCAUGGCCCUUACGGCCAGGGCUACACACGUGCUACAAUGGGGUAUACAAAGAGCUGCAAUACGGUGACGUGGAGCAAAUCUCAUAAAAUAUCUCCCAGUUCGGAUUGAAGUCUGCAACUCGACUUCAUGAAGUUGGAAUCGCUAGUAAUCGUAGAUCAGCAAUGCUACGGUGAAUACGUUCCCGGGUCUUGUACUCACCGCCCGUCACACCAUGGGAAUUGAAUUCAUUCGAGGCGGGGAUGCUAAAAUAGCUACCUUCCACAGUGGAUUUAGUAACUAGGGUGAAGUCGUAACAAGGUA
rnacentral:rRNA from 1 species